GAUGAACGCUGGCGGCGUGCCUAAUACAUGCAAGUCGAGCGAACGGACGAGAAGCUUGCUUUUCUGAUGUUAGCGGCGGACGGGUGAGUAACACGUGGAUAACCUACCUAUAAGACUGGGAUAACUUCGGGAAACCGGAGCUAAUACCGGAUAAUAUUUUGAACCGCAUGGUUCAAAAGUGAAAGACGGUCUUGCUGUCACUUAUAGAUGGAUCCGCGCUGCAUUAGCUAGUUGGUAAGGUAACGGCCUACCAAGGCAACGAUGCAUAGCCGACCUGAGAGGGUGAUCGGCCACACUGGAACUGAGACACGGUCCAGACUCCUACGGGAGGCAGCAGUGGGGAAUCUUCCGCAAUGGGCGAAAGCCUGACGGAGCAACGCCGCGUGAGUGAUGAAGGCCUUCGGAUCGUAAAACUCUGUUAUUAGGGAAGAACAUAUGUGUAAGUAACUGUGCACAUCUUGACGGUACCUAAUCAGAAAGCCACGGCUAACUACGUG
rnacentral:rRNA from 1 species